CGUUGGUUCUCUCGCGACGAUAGUUUGCAAACCCCGCCAGGGCCGGAAGGCAGCAACGGUAGUGAAUGACUCGGGUGCCGGGAUGCGGCUGGCGGGA
rnacentral:SRP_RNA from 1 species